rnacentral:rRNA from 1 species
GAUGAACGCUAGCUACAGGCUUAACACAUGCAAGUCGAGGGGCAUCAUGGAGUUUGCUUGCAAACUCUGAUGGCGACCGGCGCACGGGUGAGUAACGCGUAUCCAACCUUCCCUAUAGUACAGGAUAGCCCGGCGAAAGUCGGAUUAAUACUCUAUGUUUUCCGUUGCAGACAUCUAAGAUGGAACAAAGGCUUGCCGCUAUAGGAUGGGGAUGCGUCUGAUUAGGUAGUCGGCGGGGUAACGGCCCACCGAGCCAUCGAUCAGUAGGGGUUCUGAGAGGAAGGUCCCCCACAUUGGAACUGAGACACGGUCCAAACUCCUACGGGAGGCAGCAGUGAGGAAUAUUGGACAAUGGCCGGAAGGCUGAUCCAGCCAUGCCGCGUGCGGGAGGACGGCCCUAUGGGUUGUAAACCGCUUUUGCGAGGGAGCAAUAAGAGUCACGCGUGGCUCGAUGAGAGUACCUCGCGAAUAAGCAUCGGCUAACUCCGUGCCAGCAGCCGCGGUAAUACGGAGGACGCGAGCGUUAUCCGGAUUCAUUGGGUUUAAAGGGUGCGCAGGCGGCUCGGCAAGUCAGCGGUGAAAGCCCGGGGCCCAACCCCGGAAGUGCCGUUGAUACUGUCGGGCUGGAAUGCGGUCGAGGCGGGCGGAACGUGGCGUGUAGCGGUGAAAUGCGUAGAUAUGCCACAGAACGCCGAUAGCGGAGGCAGCUCGCCAGGCCUGCAUUGACGCUCGGGCC